rnacentral:rRNA from 1 species
CCUACGGGAGGCAGCAGUGGGGGAUAUUGCACAAUGGGGGAAACCCUGAUGCAGCGACGCCGCGUGGGCGAAGAAGUAUUUCGGUAUGUAAAGCCCUAUCAGCAGAGAAGAAGAAAUGACGGUACAUGAGUAAGAAGCACCGGCUAAAUACGUGCCAGCAGCCGCGGUAAUACGUAUGGUGCAAGCGUUAUCCGGAUUUACUGGGUGUAAAGGGAGCGCAGGCGGCAAGGCAAGCCUGAUGUGAAAGCCAGCGGCCCAACCGCGGGACUGCAUUGGGAACUACCGGGCUGGAGUGCCGGAGAGGUAGGCGGAAUUCCUAGGGUAGCGGUGAAAUGCGUAGAUAUUAGGAGGAACACCAGUGGCGAAGGCGGCCUACUGGACGGUGACUGACGCUGAGGCUCGAAAGCGUGGGGAGCAAACAGGAUUAGAUACCCCUGUAGUC